GAUUGGAAACGAUCGUUAAUACCGCAUAACAUAGUAAAUUCGCAUGUUUUUACUAUCAAAGAUUUAUCGCUGAAAGAUGAGCUCGCGUCUGAUUAGGUAGUUGGUGAGGUAACGGCCCACCAAGCCGACGAUCAGUAGCCGGACUGAGAGGUUGAACGGCCACAUUGGGACUGAGACACGGCCCAGACUCCUACGGGAGGCAGCAGUGGGGAAUAUUGCACAAUGGAGGAAACUCUGAUGCAGCGAUGCCGCGUGAGGGAAGAAGGUUUUCGGAUUGUAAACCUCUGUGUACAGGGACGAUAAUGACGGUACCUGUUCAGAAAGCUCCGGCUAACUACGUGCCAGCAGCCGCGGUAAUACGUAGGGAGCGAGCGUUGUCCGGAAUUACUGGGUGUAAAGGGAGUGUA
rnacentral:rRNA from 1 species